rnacentral:rRNA from 1 species
AUACGUAGGUGGCGAGCGUUAUCCGGAUUUACUGGGUGUAAAGGGCGCGUAGGCGGGGGCGCAAGUCAGGGGUGAAAUCUAUGGGCUUAACCCAUAAACUGCACUUGAAACUGCAUCUCUUGAGUGCUGGAGAGGUAGAUGGAAUUCCUUGUGUAGCGGUGAAAUGCGUAGAUAUAAGGAAGAACACCAAUGGCGAAGGCGAUCUACUGGACAGUAACUGACGCUGAGGCGCGAAAGCGGGGGGAGCAAACAGGAUUAGAUACCCGGGUAGUCCACGCUGUAAACGAUGAAUACUAGGUGUGGGGGGACUGACCCCCUCCGUGCCGCAGUUAACACAAUAAGUAUUCCACCUGGGGAGUACGGCCGCAAGGUUGAAACUCAAAUGAAUUGGCGGGG